CCUACGGGAGGCAGCAGUGGGGAAUAUUGCACAAUGGGGGAAACCCUGAUGCAGCGACGCCGCGUGAGUGAAGAAGUAAUUCGUUAUGUAAAGCUCUAUCAGCAGGGAAGAACAUGACGGUACCUAAGUAAGAAGCCCCGGCUAACUACUUGCCAGAAGCCGCGGUCAGACGUAGGGGGCGAGCGUUAUCCGGAUGGACUGGGUGAAAAGGGACAGGAGACGGCCAUGCAAGCCAGGGGUGAAAGCCCGGGGCCCAACCCGGGGACGGCCCUUGGAACUGCAGGGCUGGAGUGCGGGAGAGGAAGGCGGAAUUCGUGGUGUAGCGGUGAAAUGCGUAGAUAUCAGGAGGAACACCGGCGGCGAAGGCGGCCUGCUGGACUGCGACUGACGUUGAGGCUCGAAAGCGUGGGGAGCGAACAGGAUUAGAGACCCGUGUAGUC
rnacentral:rRNA from 1 species